UCGUGGAUGGUGAAUUCGAUACCAAAUUAGAUUGCUCAUUAUGUGACAUAACCAAACUCCAUCUCCCUUUAGUGUAAAAUAUCAAUGUACUAAAAAAAAUUUGAAUUUGGGUUCAAAAACUGAAGUUGGUCUUAUGGAGAAUUUACACGUGAAAAGCCCUAAUAAAUUAUCUAUACUAAAGCUCAAUAACGAAAAUAAACACAGUUUCUAAGUACAGUGAAGGACAAAAAAGCCCCUGUUUCACUAUCAUUUUUCAGUGCUAUUUUUUUUAGCUACAUUGUAAGAUGGCCAAAAAGGCCAUGCCUCUUCAACUUGUCGAGAAAUUUUUUGUUGUUCAUAAUAUAAGUGGUACACUAAAUGUUAUUAUAUAAGCGAUGAAAAUUUUUAUUUUUUAUAUUAUUAAUUUUUUAAUACAAAAAUCGUACUAUUUAUAUAAAAACAUAUAACGACUCACAUCGUGUGUUCUGGGCAUGUUAAAAAAUCUUUCCAAUUUGUAAACCCACUGUUUCUCUAGAUACUUCCCAGUUCCCACAUUGUUUUUCUCACCGCUAAAACACUCACCACGCUGCUUGCCUCUACUCUCCCCGUCUUCCUCCCCGCCUCAUCUGCUAAAAUCUCUUCGAUUCUACCAACUGCCGCAACCGUUCAGACUUUUCCAAAGGUGCAGAAUGAACGACUAAUCAAUGUGGGAAACUUUUGGAAAUGUAUAUAACUGUAACUUAGAAAUCUCCCAUUUGGAUUGCACUUAUGCUUUGAAUGCAAAGUAAAUAAAAUGUAAUGUAACUUAAAGAGUUAUUUUAGAAAUGAAUGGGUUGAUUUGUGAUUUUA